rnacentral:tRNA from 1 species
GGUGACUCAAUGGUAGAGGGCUUGCCUUGCAUGCAUGAGGCCCUGGGUUCAAUUCCUCAGCACCA